rnacentral:rRNA from 1 species
UGGGGAAUCUUGCGCAAUGGCCGAAAGGCUGACGCAGCGACGCCGCGUGUGGGAUGAAGCUCUUCGGGGUGUAAACCACUGUUGCCCGGGACGAACGGCGAGAUUUAUCUCGCGUGACGGUACCGGGUGAGGAAGCACCGGCUAACUCCGUGCCAGCAGCCGCGGUAAUACGGAGGGUGCGAGCGUUGUCCGGAAUCACUGGGCGUAAAGGGCGCGUAGGCGGCUUGGCAAGGGGGCGGUGAAAGCCCGGGGCUCAACCCCGGGUCAGCCGAACCGACUGCUAGGCUUGACCACACUAGGGGCUCGUGGAAUUCCGGGUGUAGCGGUGGAAUGCGUAGAGAUCCGGAAGAACACCGGUGGCGAAGGCGGCGAGCUGGGGUGUGUGUGACGCUGAUGCGCGACAGCGUGGGGAGCAAACAGGAUUAGAUACCCCCGUAGUCC